ensembl:lncRNA
AUCAGGAAGUAAACAACAAUGGCUGUACGUUGUACUAAUAAGUUGCACUACUCGUUUUUAUUCCUAUUUGUAUUGGUGUGUGUUUUGUUUGGGAAGUCGGCCAGCUCUUUGACUUCAGAUAAACCUGGACAUGGUGAAUUCAAACAUUUCCGAAGUUUUCGAAGUGUUUCAGAGCCUACAGCUCCACCACCAGGGUGCAGUGGAAGAGCAAGCGUGACGUGUAGAGCGCGUGAGAGCAGUUUGGCGUCUUCUCAAAGUUUUCUGCGACUUUGUCUUUUUGCUUUUGUUUUCAUUUAAUUAUUGAAUGUUUAAGUUAUGUAAGUAGCCGGUAGAAGUUGAGAGCGGGUGGGAGUGAGCGGGACGGCGUCCCGCUCUCUGAGGCCGGAGGGCAGACGCUGUCUCUCCGCCAUGGCGUCAGGUGUGUGCCGGAGGAUGGAGAACAGGUGGAGGAGGUUCUGCUAGCGGUGGG